UACGUAGGGUGCGAGCGUUAUCCGGAAUGAUUGGGCGUAAAGCGUCCGCAGGUGGCAAUGUAAGUCUGCUGUCAAAGCGUCUGGCUCAACCAGAUAAAGGCAGUGGAAACUACAUAGCUAGAGUAAGGUAGGGGUAGAGGGAAUUCCUGGUGUAGCGGUGAAAUGCGUAGAGAUCAGGAAGAACACCGGUGGCGAAAGCGCUCUGCUGGACCUUAACUGACACUGAGGGACGAAAGCUAGGGGAGCGAAUGGG
rnacentral:rRNA from 1 species